rnacentral:rRNA from 1 species
CAGCAGCCACGGGAAUACGAAGGGUGCAAGCGUUAAUCGGAAUUACUGGGCGUAAAGCGUGCGUAGGCGGUGAGUUAAGUCUGCUGUGAAAUCCCCGGGCUCAACCUGGGAAUGGCAGUGGAUACUGGCUCGCUAGAGUGUGUCAGAGGAUGGUGGAAUUCCCGGUGUAGCGGUGAAAUGCGUAGAGAUCGGGAGGAACAUCAGUGGCGAAGGCGGCCAUCUGGGACAACACUGACGCUGAGGCACGAAAGCGUGGGGAGCAAACAGGAUUAGAUACCCCCGUAGUCCCUGUCUCUUGUAC